rnacentral:tRNA from 1 species
GGAGAGGGUAUAGCUCAAUUGGUAGAGUGUGUGCUUAGCAUGUACAAGGUCCUGGGUUCAAUCCCCAGUACCUCCA